ACAAUCCCACUGGCCUGAGCCAGCAGGUGGCACAGCUCAGGCUGGACCCAGCCAGCCUCAAGGAGGGAAGAGAGGGACAUCAUGGUGGCGCUGGACUCCCUGCAGGGUAUGGGAUGAACUCUGCUGCUCAGAUGGGCAGGGGCUGCAAGAAGGAAGAAUGGGCAGCUUGAACUCAGGGAGGCGGGUCUGUGGUGGGGCAAGUGGAUGGAAUAGAACUGGAGGGUGGAGGAGGAGAUGGGAAAUGGAAGGGCAGGGGGUUAAGGAAGAAAUAAAGGAGGCAGAGGGAAGGACUGCGGGGAGGGAGACGAAAAGGUUGAGGAUAGGAGGGGAGUGAGAGAGAAGAGAAGCAGAGAAGAAAAAGUGAGGAGAGAAGAGGGGCCAGACCGGGACAGAGCAGUGCAGGGCUGUGAGGAAGGAGGUAGAGGGAUGGGCACGCCCUGCACCACCAGCCACCUAGCCUCCCUGUCCUGCCAGCUCCAUACCCCGUCAGGAAAGACAGGCCAGGGCUCUGCUGCCCUGUGCCUCCUCCCUUCUCCAGACCCAGGAUGUCGGCAUCCCUGGAUUUUGAGAUCCAAAAGGCAGGGCUCAACUUACCCCACAUGGAAGACAGUGACUCACACAGAUGAGCCUGCUAGAGCACCUUUUCCAGGAGCAGAGACCCACAAGGGUGGACGGGGGCUUGCUUUCCCCUCUCCUGGGGCUGGCAGGAACACCCCACUCUUACCCCAACUCACAGUGAUCGCCGGAGGGUGGUGCACUCUGCUCCAGCACCUGCCACCUGCCUAACACGCACUUGGGGACAGCUUCCAAUAGGAUGCAAGUGGCAGACAAAGGGCUCUGCAGAGGCAGAAGAUGAACAGUAAGAUGCAAAGAUCUGGCAACCUUCAGAGCUGGAUGUUCUCACAGAGCUACACAUGCCACAGUCAUCACUAGUUGCGAGAGUCUCCAGUGUUCAUUAAGCCUAUUUUGCUGGAAGUUUAGUCCCUGGAGGAUUAGUCCCUGCCCUUAAGGAGUGCCAAAGAAGACUUUGGAAUCUAAGUCACAUCUCCCCUGCUGCAAUUUUUUCCUCUUGAUAAUCAAGGAAUCUCACUGAUAAAACUCUCAAUGAGGAGCAGCUCUCCCCAUGAGCAAGUUCUUGCCUUCAUUGCCAGGGAGGCCCCAGCUAAGGUUAUACUGGGAAAGGAAUCUCUGGGGAGUACCUGGAAGAGGUCAGCUUCUCCUCAAAGGAAGCCUCUCCAGCUGGUGUACUGCAAAGCCUUCCAAGACCAAGUUCCCUCUUCCUGGCCUCUGGAACCAGCCUGUGUGCCAGCGCUGUGUCCCCAGUAACACACAUGAGUCUCUCCCUCAGAAGCCACAGAAGGAUGCAGAGAGAGACCAACCCAGGAUUGAUUCUCAGCACUUACUAAUUGUGUGGACAUAACUGCUCUGGACCUCAGCUUUGCUAUCUAUAAAAUGAGCACCCUUUUUAUAGAUAUGAACACUUUAAGAGAGUCAUAAAGAUUGAAGUUGAUUUGUGCUGCGCCUGGCACAGAGGUCUCCCUCAGUAAAUGGCAGCCACUGCUAUUGGGGUGCCCCAACACCCCUUGCCCCUGCCCACCAUUAGCUUUCACUUAGGCCCACACUGAGGGUGUGGCUGUUGUGUUGGGGGAAGGAAAAAAACCAUGCCUGGGUUGCAGGGCCCCCACCACCAACUGGUCUGCUUUUGUGGGAAGCAUUUUCUGAUGCCCUCGCCCUACCCGUGGGCUGGUUGACUAAGUGUCCAGCAUCAUGAGGAAAAGAGCAGGGUUCAGGGACAGCUUGGCUCAGCCCUGAAACUCAUCUGGGCCUAGGUCCAGAUGAGAGGCAAGCCUGGGAGGCCUUCCGUUGUACCCUUGCCUAUCCUGCAGCACCCUCUAGCCUGCAGGCCGCUCCUGGGUGGCAUAGCACCUUGGAUGUCAGGUGUGGGCCUUCCCAGGCACAUGGCAUGAGGGGGCACUUCUGUGGGUUGUUGGGGGCAGGAAGGGAUGUGUCUCCAGCUGGACUUGGGCUCUCGCAUUUUGGGGCCCAGCCAUGCCAGGACAGCACACAUGGGCGCUUAGUGCGAAUCUCAUGAUGGAGCAGAGGAGGAGCAAAGCAAAACCAGGGAGUCCCCAGGCCCCUGCUUCUGCCCCGCCCAGAGACAGUGGAGCAGGUGUCUCCAGCUUCUUAACCUCAACGCACAGUAAGAAAUACAUUUUACAGCAACCAAUAGACACAUACAUUUACAAAACGAUACUCUGUAAUGCACUGGGCUGGUUUUCUCUCCUCACGCCCCUCUAGUGAGUCACAGAUGAGUCCCGCUAUAAGUAAUGUAAGCAAGCCACAGUCCCUGGCUGGCAAGUGAGGGAGUGCCCCACCAGGACAGGGACACUGAGGCAGCAAUGAAAACAGCCAAUGCAACCACUCCUUCCUUUUUCCCCCGCUCAGACCCUCAUGGGUGAGGAGAGAAGCUGCCAAGCCGAGGACUCCAUGAGAAAGAUGCCGGAGCUGCCCCACUCCGCAGCAGGCGCUUCCCCUGGAUUCUCACUAUCCUCACGACAGCCAUGAGCACCAGCAAUUAUCUGUUCCAUUUUGGAGAGGAGGCAAUGCAGGUUCAGAGGCUUUAAAAAGAUUUACUAUGUGCUUGCUGUGUGCCGGCAACGUUUAUAUGGUUUAUAUAAUGCUGAAUGGUUUAUAUAAUGCUCAGCGCUUACCUAUUCCCCAGAGCAGCCCUAGGGAGCAGGUACCGCUGCAUCUGCAUUGGCAGAGGAGACCGCGGCUCCCCCAACCCCCGGCUCAAGGUCUCACAGCUAGUUGCAGGCCUGCAUCUCUCAACCCAGA
rnacentral:lncRNA from 1 species